rnacentral:lncRNA from 1 species
GGAGCAGGAACUCUGGGAGUGGAAUCCAGACGUCUUGGCUUAACAAGCCCUCCGGGGGCUCCUGAUACACCCUAAAGUUUGGAAAGCUGGGUGGAAAGUGCAAUGUAAGAGAAAUAGCUUUUAAGACAUCAUUUCAGUCACUUAUCAAAUGUGUCUUGAGUGCACUGAGCAAGCACAGAACAUGUCGCCAACUCCGAGAGCCUGCACAGGACAGUCCUCUUGAUGGGUCUUCAGGGUUUUUGUUGUCGUUGUUGUCGUCGUCUCUUAGUUCACCGAUGCCCAGAAGCAUUAGCCAAAUCAUGAUGCCCCCAUCUUUGCCUGCAGGAAGAUAGAAAGCAUCCCGUCACAAACAGAUUGAGGAAAGUACCCCCGUUUGUGCCCAUCUCUGUGCGUGUUUGGGCGCACAGCCUGACUCUUCUUAGACGUUCAUUUCAGGAGAGCAGAGCUCCAGGCCCCCAGCCCCCUUUCGUCGGCUGCCCGCGCACCCCCAAGCCCUUCCCCACCGGGACCUGAAAGCUCUUUCCCUGCAGGUAAUGGACUGCAGUCAUUUUCGGCUCGUCGGUGCUUUGUUCAUUGCUUCUCAUUUCUUCUUCUUUCACCUCAAAGCCAGCCCAUCCUCACUCACUGGUGACACCAGAGGUCAUUAUCUUCUCUCUGCAAGCGUUUUCUCUUUUUAUUAAGCUUUGACUAUCAUCAGUUUCAGAAGGCUUUCCCCCUCACCUGUUGAUUCUUUCUUUCUUUCUUUCUUUUUCUUUUUUUCUGUCUUUUUGACUCCUAGCCUGGGACCCUCCAUAUGCCGCAGGUGCCCCCCCCCCAAAAAAAAAGAUCCAUUUCAUAGAAAUUGCCAAAUGGUCCUUGAAAACAGUGGCACCAGAGUUCCCGUCGUGGCUCAGUGGGGCAAAUCCGACUAGCAUCCAUGAGCACACAGGUUCGAUCCCUGGCCUUCCUCAGUGGGUUAAGGAUCCAGCUCUGAUUUGACCUAGACCGAAUGCCAUCAACAGGCCCCACACGUCAGCAGUCAGUGCCCCAAUGUAAGAAUUUUAUGUUGUUGUCAUAUUAUAAGGUUCUUAUGAAGCCACGGCUUCCUAAUACUGUGUAGCCACUCCCUGAGCUGGGCAUUCUUUUCCUUCCCUUUCAAUACAUCACAUUGAUUUUCUGUAUGACUUUAUCUGCUUAAUACAAAGUGGGAUUGAACAGUGAUUUGUCUGGAUCUGACCAUUCCUUAUCAAACAUUUAUGAUUUAGCUUUCGCCAUGGCGUCUUCUUGUAAGGUGUUGCUUAUUUUUAUCUUUUUCCGUAAAGGUAGGAUUGUGUUGACAGCCCUGUAAUAAAUCUCUCUUGAAAGUGACGUGUGGGAGAGGGCAGGGAGAGAUGGGGACCGUUUGAGGGGAAGCUUUAAGAAAGGGCCGUGCGAAUUCUUUCUGGACCGAAGUCCUGUUUUAAUAGCAGUGAUUGAUGUCCUCACUUGGGGCAUUGCCAUAUAUGAGGAUCGGGUGCUUCUCAGGACGCACGGAUGGCUAACCCUCUGAUGGUGAUGGGUCCAGUACGUGCGUGAGGUUGGUAGAGCCCGGGGCCAAAUCUUAGAAGCACCUGCCUCACGUAGCGUGAUGUCAGGGACAUGGCAGGGUCACCAGCUUUCACGGAGCGUCUCGGUUGGAAUGUCACCUGCAGACACGAGACUGGGAAAUGACAGAAUGCAGUGAGGCUUGCGUAUUUUUCUCUCAUUCUGUUUCCUUAUUGAGAGCAUUUUCAAGGUUCCCAUAGAGAAGCGGGAAUUGGUAUAUUUCCCUCAGUUCUAGAAAACUUGAUGAGCGCCUACUGUGUGUCGAGCAUCAUGUCCUUGGAGCCAUCUGCCAGGACACAGGGAUGAAUAGCGCAGUAGGGCAGCAGGGAGCCAGUAGCCUGACCGUUGUGGGCUUGCACACCAGCGCAUCACUGUUGGGUGACGUAGGGCAAUACUUUUUAACCUGAAACAGCACCCUUUGUCCCAUCACCAUUCCCGUGGAUGAACUAUCUGGAUAGGGUUCAGCAUCUCUCUCAGGGUGCAAUCGAGGAGCCGGUGUCUUCAACUGGGGCUGGACCAGGGCGACUCACACUUAAUCACACUUCAGGUUCUUGCCCAGGGCUUGGGUUUUGGCUGGUGUUGGGCUGAGGGCCUCAGUUCCUUUUUUGGCUGUUGCCUUUGGGGCUGUUUAAAGGGCAGCUCACAGCACGGCAGCUGCCUCCCAUCUGAGCAAGCCAAACAAAAGAGCGAGAGGUGGCGAGUGAGGCCGACGUCAGUCUCAGGUGAACUUCAUCUCAGAAGUGAAGAGUCCAUCAUUUUAUUUAUUUAUUUGUAUCGAGACAUCAGUCAAUGCUCUACUCUUCUCCCCUUCAAAGUAUAUGAUUAAGGAGUCCCCUGAUGGUGCAGAGGGUUAAGGAUCUGGCGUUGUUACUGCUGUGGUUUGGGUCGCUGCUGUGGCACAGGUUUCGUCCCUGGCCUGGAAACUUCCUCACGUUGCAGGCAUGGCCAAAAAAAAUAUACGAUCCAGUAUUUUUUAGUAUAUUUUCAGAGUCGUACAACCAUCACCACUACCAAAUUAGCAUUUGUCAUCACCCCCCCCCCCCAAAAAAAAAAA